rnacentral:rRNA from 1 species
GAAUAUUGGACAAUGGAGGAAACUCUGAUCCAGCCAUGCCGCGUGAAGGAUGACGGCCCUACGGGUUGUAAACUUCUUUUCUCAGGGAAGAAACCUCGCCAUUUAUGGGGAGCUGACGGUACCUGAGGAAUAAGCCCCGGCUGACUCCGUGCCAGCAGCCGCGGUAAUGCGGAGGGUGCAAGCGUUAUCCGGAUUCACUGGGUUUAAAGGGGGCGUAGGCGGAUUAAUAAGUCAGAGGUGAAAGCCCCGGGCUCAACCUGGGAAUUGCCUUUGAUACUGUUAGUCUUGAGUACAGUUGAGGUGGGCGGAAUGUGACGUGUAGCGGUGAAAUGCUUAGAUAUGUCACAGAACACCGAUUGCGAAGGCAGCUCACUAAACUGUUACUGACGCUGAGGCACGAAAGCGUGGGGAGCAAACAGG